rnacentral:rRNA from 1 species
CCUACGGGAGGCAGCAGUGGGGGAUAUUGCACAAUGGGCGGAACCCUGAUGCAGCGACGCCGCGUGGGUGAAGACGCGCCUCGGCGCGUAAAGCCUUGUCUGCAGGGAAGAAACUGACGGUACCUGUGGCAGAAGCCCCGGUUAACUAAGUGCCAGCAGCCGCGGUCACACGUCGGGGGCCAGCGUUAUUCGGAUUUACUGGGUGUAAAGGGGGCGCAGUCGGCGAUGCAAGCUAGGAGUGAAAGCCGGGGGCCCAAUCCCGGGACUGAUAUUGAAACUGCGUGGCUGGAGUGCAGGAGGGGCAGGCGGAAUGCCUGGUGUAGCGGUGAAAUGCGUAGAUAUCAGGAGGAACACCGGUGGCGAAGGCGGCAUGCUGGACUGCAACUGACGUUGAGGCCCGAAAGCGUGGGGAGCAAACAGGAUUAGAUACCCUUGUAGUC